rnacentral:rRNA from 1 species
UACAGAGGGUGCAAGCGUUAAUCGGAAUUACUGGGCGUAAAGCGCAUGAUGGUGGUUAAAUAAGUUUGAUGUGAAAGCCCUGGGCUUAACCUGGGAAUGGCAUUGAAUACUGUUUGACUGGAGUCGGACAGAGGGUAGUGGAAUUUCCGGUGUAGCGGUGAAAUGCGUAGAGAUCGGAAAGAACAUCGAUGGCGAAGGCAGCUACCUGGGUCCAGACUGACACUUAAGUGCGAAAGCGUGGGGAGCAAACAGG